rnacentral:rRNA from 1 species
CCUACGGGGAACAGCAGUGAGGAAUAUUGGUCAAUGGACGAGAGUCUGAACCAGCCAAGUAGCGUGAAGGAUGACUGCCCUAUGGGUUGUAAACUUCUUUUAUAAAGGAAUAAAACGAGUCACGUGUGCCUUUUUGCAUGUACUUUAUGAAUAAGGAUCGGCUAACUCCGUGCCAGCAGCCGCGGUAAUACGGAGGAUCCGAGCGUUAUCCGGAUUUAUUGGGUUUAAAGGGAGCGUAGAUGGGUUGUUAAGUAAGUUGUGAAAGUUUGCGGCUCAACCGUAAAAUUGCAAUGGGUACUGGCAGUCUUGAGUACAGUUGAGGUGUGCGGAAUUCGUGGUGUAGCGGUGAAAUGCUUAGAUAUCACGAAGAACUCCGAUUGCGAAGGCAGCUCACUGGACUGCAACUGACACUGAGGCUCGAAGGUGUGGGUAUCAAACAGGAUUAGAUACCCGAGUAGUC